AUACCAUGGUGAGGACACUUCCUUUGAAGUUCCUUGUAUCGCUCCCAAGCUUCAUACAAAGACUCAUCCUCUCUUAGUGUGAAAGAAGUAAGCUCAAUUCUCAACUU